rnacentral:siRNA from 1 species
AGGACGAGAACUAAAAGCCGGGUC